rnacentral:rRNA from 1 species
GACGAACGCUGGCGGCGUGCCUAAUACAUGCAAGUUGAGCGCUGAAGGUUGGUACUUGUACCGACUGGAUGAGCAGCGAACGGGUGAGUAACGCGUGGGGAAUCUGCCUUUGAGCGGGGGACAACAUUUGGAAACGAAUGCUAAUACCGCAUAAAAACUUUAAACACAAGUUUUAAGUUUGAAAGAUGCAAUUGCAUCACUCAAAGAUGAUCCCGCGUUGUAUUAGCUAGUUGGUGAGGUAAAGGCUCACCAAGGCGAUGAUACAUAGCCGACCUGAGAGGGUGAUCGGCCACAUUGGGACUGAGACACGGCCCAAACUCCUACGGGAAGCAGCAGUAGGGAAUCUUCGGCAAUGGACGAAAGUCUGACCGAGCAACGCCGCGUGAGUGAAGAAGGGUUUCGGAUCGUAAAACUCUGUUGGUAGAGAAGAACGUUGGUGAGAGUGGAAAGCUCAUCAAGUGACGGUAACUACCCAGAAAGGGACGGCUAACUACGUG